GAUGAAGAACGUAGCGAAAUGCGAUAAGUAGUGUGAAUUGCAGAAUUCAGUGAAUCAUCGAAUCUUUGAACGCACAUUGCGCCCCUCGGUAUUCCGUGGGGCAUGCCUGUUCGAGCGUCAUUUAACCCCUCAAGCCUAGCUUGGUAUUGGGUGCUUGUCCCGCCUCUCGCGCGGCGACUCACCUCAAAGUCAUUGGCAGCCCGCAUCUCGCCGGCCGUGAGCGCAGCACAGACGCACUCUUGGCAACGACGGAUCGGCUCUCCAAAAGCUUAUUUCAACCACUGACCUCGGAUCAGGUAGGGAUACCCGCUGAACUUAAGCAUAUCAAUAAGCGGAGGA
rnacentral:misc_RNA from 1 species